AUUGGAUUUUAACUAAAUUUUAGUAAUUUGGCAAACAUCUCAGGAUUAUUCACUUGUUUGAAUUGUAGGGGAAUUCAAAGUGAAUUUGACAUUUUAGACCAAAAUAGUCAAGCCUGAAAAGUCAGCUAUUCUAUAUUUCCAGUUUACCUAUUCUGGCCUGAAAUUCAUUCAUUUCCUAACAAUUCACAGUUUAGCGAAUAACCCAAUGUAUGUCUGCAUAUACAGCAACAUCCAUGCACUUACCCUGUUUUUAUACACUGACUUUAAGCUACACAACCACACAC